UUCGCUGGUGGUCUAGUGGCUAGGACUCUGUGCUCCCAAUGCAGGGGAUCCAGGUUCGAUCCCUGGUCAGGAAA